CCUACGGGAGGCAGCAGUGGGGAAUAUUGCACAAUGGGGGAAAGCCUGAUGCAGCGACGCCGCGUGAGUGAAGAAGUAAUUCGUUACGUAAAGCUCUAUCAGCAGAGAAGAAAAUGACGGUACGUGAGUAAGAAGCCCCGGCUAAAUACGUGCCAGCAGCCGCGGUCAUACGUAGGGGGCAAGCGGUAUCCGGAUUUACGGGGUGUAAAGGGAGCGUAGACGGUGGGCCAAGUAUGAAGUGAAAGGCGGGGGCCCAACCCCCGGACUGAGUUGGAAACUGUAUGGCUGGAGUGCAGGAGAGGUAAGUGGAAUUCCUAGUGUAGCGGUGAAAUGCGUAGAUAUUAGGAGGAACACCAGUGGCGAAGGCGGCGUACUGGACUGUAACUGACGUUGAGGCGCGAAAGCGUGGGGAGCAAACAGGAUUAGAUACCCCUGUAGUC
rnacentral:rRNA from 1 species